UACGUAGGGUGCAAGCGUUAAUCGGAAUUACUGGGCGUAAAGCGUGCGCAGGCGGUUUUGUAAGUCUGUCGUGAAAGCCCCGGGCUCAACCUGGGAAUUGCGAUGGAGACUGCAAGGCUUGAAUCUGGCAGAGGGGGGUGGAAUUCCACGUGUAGCAGUGAAAUGCGUAGAGAUGUGGAGGAACACCGAUGGCGAAGGCAGCCCCCUGGGCUAACACUGACGCUCAUGCACGAAAGCGUGGGGAGCAAACAGG
rnacentral:rRNA from 1 species